rnacentral:rRNA from 1 species
CCUACGGGGUGCUGCAGUCGAGAAUCAUUCACAAUGGGGGAAACCCUGAUGGUGCGACGCCGCGUGGGGGAAUGAAGGUCUUCGGAUUGUAAACCCCUGUCAUGUGGGAGCAAAUUAAAAAGAUAGUACCACAAGAGGAAGAGACGGCUAACUCUGUGCCAGAAGCAGCGGUAAUACAGAGGUCUCAAGCGUUGUUCGGAACCACUGGGCGUAAAGGGUGCGUAGGCUGUUUCGUAAGUCGUGUGUGAAAGGCGCGGGCUCAACCCGCGGACGGCACAUGAUACUGCGAGACUAGAGUAAUGGAGGGGGAACCGGAAUUCUCGGUGUAGCAGUGAAAUGCGUAGAUAUCGAGAGGAACACUCGUGGCGAAGGCGGGUUCCUGGACAUUAACUGACGCUGAGGCACGAAGGCCAGGGGAGCGAAAGGGAUUAGAUACCCCUGUAGUC